rnacentral:rRNA from 1 species
UGGGGAAUAUUGCACAAUGGGCGCAAGCCUGAUGCAGCCAUGCCGCGUGUGUGAAGAAGGCCUUCGGGUUGUAAAGCACUUUCAGCGAGGAGGAAGGUGGUGAGCUUAAUACGCUUAUCAAUUGACGUUACUCGCAGAAGAAGCACCGGCUAACUCCGUGCCAGCAGCCGCGGUAAUACGGAGGGUGCAAGCGUUAAUCGGAAUUACUGGGCGUAAAGCGCACGCAGGCGGUUUGUUAAGUCAGAUGUGAAAUCCCCGGGCUCAACCUGGGAACUGCAUUUGAAACUGGCAAGCUAGAGUCUCGUAGAGGGGGGUAGAAUUCCAGGUGUAGCGGUGAAAUGCGUAGAGAUCUGGAGGAAUAACGGUGGCGAAGGCGGCACCCUGGACGAAGACUGACGCUCAGGUGCGAAAGCGUGGGGAGCAAACA